GAGAAUAAUGAAAACUCCCUGAAUGCGCCCGAUCUCGUCUGAUCUCGGAAGCUAAGCAGGGUCGGGCCUGGUUAGUACUUGGAUGGGAGAAUAAUGAAAACAGUAAGGUAUCAUCUUGC
rnacentral:rRNA from 1 species